rnacentral:rRNA from 1 species
UACGGAGGGUGCGAGUGUUAUUCGGAAUCACUGGGCGUAAAGAGCACGUAGGCGGAUAGGUAAGUCAGAUGUGAAAUCCCGGAGCUCAACUCCGGAACUGCAUUUGAUACUGCCUGUCUUGAGUGAGGUAGAGGGGGGUGGAAUUCCCGGUGUAGAGGUGAAAUUCGUAGAGAUCGGGAGGAACAUCAGAGGCGAAGGCGACCCCCUGGGCCUCUACUGACGCUGAGGUGCGAAAGCGUGGGGAGCAAACAGG